rnacentral:rRNA from 1 species
AGUGAACGCUGGCGGUAGGCCUAACACAUGCAAGUCGAACGGCAGCACAGUAAGAGCUUGCUCUUACGGGUGGCGAGUGGCGGACGGGUGAGGAAUACAUCGGAAUCUACUUUUUCGUGGGGGAUAACGUAGGGAAACUUACGCUAAUACCGCAUACGACCUACGGGGGAAAGCAUGGGAUCUUCGGACCUUGCGCGAUUGAAUGAGCCGAUGUCGGAUUAGCUAGUUGGCGGGGUAAAGGCCCACCAAGGCGACGAUCCGUAGCUGGUCUGAGAGGAUGAUCAGCCACACUGGAACUGAGACACGGUCCAGACUCCUACGGGAGGCAGCAGUGGGGAAUAUUGGACAAUGGGCGCAAGCCUGAUCCAGCCAUACCGCGUGUGUGAAGAAGGCCUUCGGGUUGUAAAGCCCUUUUGUUGGGAAAGAAAAGCAGCAGGUUAAUACCCCGCUGUUCUGACGGUACCCAAAGAAUAAGCACCGGCUAACUUCGUG